rnacentral:tRNA from 3 species
GUUUUAAUAGUUUAAAUAAAACAUUGAUCUUGUAAAUCAAAAUUGAAAUAAUUCUUAAAACU